CCCGCUGAACUUAAGCAUAUCAAUAAGCGGAGGAAAAGAAACUAACAAGGAUUCCCCUAGUAACUGCGAGUGAAGCGGGAAAAGCUCAAAUUUAAAAUCUGGCAGUCUUUGGCUGUCCGAGUUGUAAUCUAGAGAAGUAUUAUCCGCGCUGGACCGUGUACAAGUCUCCUGGAAUGGAGCGUCAUAGAGGGUGAGAAUCCCGUCUUUGACACGGACUGCCAGGGCUUUGUGAUAUGCUCUCAAAGAGUCGAGUUGUUUGGGAAUGCAGCUCAAAAUGGGUGGUAAAUUCCAUCUAAAGCUAAAUAUUGGCGAGAGACCGAUAGCGAACAAGUACCGUGAGGGAAAGAUGAAAAGAACUUUGGAAAGAGAGUUAAACAGUACGUGAAAUUGCUGAAAGGGAAACGCUUGAAGUCAGUCGCGUUGGCCAGGGAUCAACCUUGCUUUUGCUUGGCUUACUUUCUGGUCGAUGGGUCAGCAUCAAUUUUGACUGGUGGAAAAAGUUCAAGGGAAUGUGGCAUCUUCGGAUGUGUUAAAGCCUUGGUUCUCAUACAUUGGUUGGGAUUGAGGAACUCAGCCCGCCGCACGGCCGGGUUUUUAACCACGUACGUGCUUAGGAUGCUGGCAUAAUGGCUUUAAUCGACCCGUCUUGAAACACGG
rnacentral:rRNA from 1 species